GGCACAAAGUUGAAGUAGUGUAGUUUAGUAGGGUCGGACAAUCCUACUAACCUACUUUACUUCAAAUUUGGGCCC
rnacentral:pre_miRNA from 1 species